rnacentral:rRNA from 1 species
UGAACGCUGGCGGCAUGCCUUACACAUGCAAGUCGAACGGCAGCACGGGAGCAAUCCUGGUGGCGAGUGGCGAACGGGUGAGUAAUAUAUCGGAACGUGCCCAGUAGUGGGGGAUAGCCCGGCGAAAGCCGGAUUAAUACCGCAUACGACCUGAGGGUGAAAGCGGGGGAUCGCAAGACCUCGCGCUAUUGGAGCGGCCGAUAUCAGAUUAGCUAGUUGGUGGGGUAAAGGCCUACCAAGGCUACGAUCUGUAGUUGGUCUGAGAGGACGACCAGCCACACUGGGACUGAGACACGGCCCAGACUCCUACGGGAGGCAGCAGUGGGGAAUUUUGGACAAUGGGCGCAAGCCUGAUCCAGCAAUGCCGCGUGCAGGAAGAAGGCCUUCGGGUUGUAAACUGCUUUUGUCAGGGAAGAAAUCUUCUGGGCUAAUACCCCGGGAGGAUGACGGUACCUGAAGAAUAAGCACCGGCUAACUACGU